rnacentral:rRNA from 1 species
GAUGAACGCUAGCUACAGGCUUAACACAUGCAAGUCGCGGGGCAGCAUGGGGGUUGCUUGCAACCCCUGAUGGCGACCGGCGCACGGGUGAGUAACGCGUAUCCAACCUGCCCUUCACCACGGGAUAACCCGGCGAAAGUCGGACUAAUACCGUAUGUUGUCCAUUGACGGCAUCCGAUUUGGACGCAAGGCUUGGCGGAGCAAGGAUGGGGAUGCGUCCGAUUAGCUUGACGGCGGGGUAACGGCCCACCGUGGCUACGAUCGGUAGGGGUUCUGAGAGGAAGGUCCCCCACACUGGAACUGAGACACGGUCCAGACUCCUACGGGAGGCAGCAGUGAGGAAUAUUGGUCAAUGGGCGUAAGCCUGAACCAGCCAAGUAGCGUGCAGGAUGACGGCCCUAUGGGUUGUAAACUGCUUUUAUGCGGGGAUAAAGUGGCCCACGUGUGGGCUUUUGCAGGUACCGCAUGAAUAAGGACCGGCUAAUUCCGUG